UGGGGAAUUUUGGACAAUGGGGGCAACCCUGAUCCAGCCAUCCCGCGUGUGCGAUGAAGGCCUUCGGGUUGUAAAGCACUUUUGGCAGGGAAGAAACAGCCUGGGCUAAUAUCCCGGGCGACUGACGGUACCUGCAGAAUAAGCACCGGCUAACUACGUGCCAGCAGCCGCGGUAAUACGUAGGGUGCAAGCGUUAAUCGGAAUUACUGGGCGUAAAGCGUGCGCAGGCGGUUCGGAAAGAAAGGUGUGAAAUCCCAGGGCUUAACCUUGGAACUGCACUUUUAACUACCGGGCUAGAGUACGUCAGAGGGGGGUAGAAUUCCACGUGUAGCAGUGAAAUGCGUAGAGAGGUGGAGGAAUACCGAUGGCGAAGGCAGCCCCCUGGGAUGAUACUGUCGCUCAUGCACGAAAGCGUGGGGAGCAAACA
rnacentral:rRNA from 1 species